AAAUCACGUAGAAAAUGAGCAUUCUCGGCAAAGGAAACAGCAGAUGCGAAGGCCUUGAGUUAGGAAUAUAUCCAGUGUUUUCAAAGGUUGGCCAGGAGGCCAGUAUUAUAGUAGGAGUGUUAUAGUAGAAGGAAGAACAUUAGGAGGCAUAGUCAAAGAGAUGAGAGCCAACAUUUAAAGGUAUUCUUACUUUUAUUAUGACAUAGGAAUCUCACGGAAGGCUUUGAGCAGAAGAGUGAAAAAACAUGGCUGAUAUUCUGAAAUGAUCGCUCUUGUAAUGAUGUUGAUUUUGAGAAUAGACUCAAAAUGAGAAGAAUGGAAGCAAGAUGCCCAGUUUGGAGGCUACUAUGCUACUCACAUGAGAAAUGAUAGUGGUUGUGAAUAAGAAUACGCUGAUGAACAGAUAUUCUUAAUUUCAACACAGUCAAAAUCAUCACUAGUUUACUUCAGAUGAGAAAAUGAAGGCAUAUGGAAAGUCAGCAAUUUCCUUGGAUGACCUUUGCUACUAAGUGUUGAUCCUGGGGUAUGGGCCCACUUGAUCUGACUGCGGCAUCUGGUAUUUUGUAUCCACAAAAUUCUAUUGCCUACCACAAUUAUUUUGUCUGAAUUUAAUACUGUAUUUAUCAGAAAAUUAUUCCAGAGUGAUCCAUCACAUUCACAGGUAAAUUUUAAGUUACCUUGUAUUUAUUAAAAAGAUGAUUAAAAAAUGAAGAUCUGUUGUAUGCCAGAGGAUUCAGUGAAUUUUCUUCUGAAGGUAGGUGUUCAAAAUGAUCAUCACUUAAAUCAAGGUCACUUAAGUUCUAAGGAUAAAAUAGGCAAAUGAGAAACAAAAUGCCUGUGUUGAUGAUGAGAAUGGCAUUCUGACUCCUGCCUUGCUGAUUUCAGUUCUGGAAGAAUGUUUUGAAUAUAUUCUUUCAAUGCUCACCAGGAUUUGCUACCAGUUCUUUUUUACAUGAAGACGUGCUAAGUUUUUCAUAUAACCUUCCUUGCUUUACUCAGAUCCCUUUAUAUGUUCUAUAGGCAGUGGGUAAGCAGGAUAAAAACUCCCACCCUGACUUUUCCAGAAAUUGGUAAGUGAUGAAGACUGUGGAUGAAGAAAUUCU
rnacentral:lncRNA from 10 species